rnacentral:rRNA from 1 species
CCAGAGAACUUUCCAGAGAUGGAUUGGUGCCUUCGGGAACUCUGAGACAGGUGCUGCAUGGCUGUCGUCAGCUCGUGUUGUGAAAUGUUGGGUUAAGUCCCGCAACGAGCGCAACCCUUUAUCCUUUGUUGCCAGCGGUUAGGCCGGGAACUCAAAGGAGACUGCCAGUGAUAAACUGGAGGAAGGUGGGGAUGACGUCAAGUCAUCAUGGCCCUUACGAGUAGGGCUACACACGUGCUACAAUGGCGCAUACAAAGAGAAGCGACCUCGCGAGAGCAAGCGGACCUCAUAAAGUGCGUCGUAGUCCGGAUUGGAGUCUGCAACUCGACUCCAUGAAGUCGGAAUCGCUAGUAAUCGUAGAUCAGAAUGCUACGGUGAAUACGUUCCCGGGCCUUGUACACACCGCCCGUCACACCAUGGGAGUGGGUUGCAAAAGAAGUAGGUAGCUUAACCUUCGGGAGGGCGCUUACCACUUUGUGAUUCAUGACUGGGGUGAAGUCGUAACAAGGUAAGCGUAGUGCU